AUAACUUUAAUGAUAAUUAUGUUCUUGAGAAAGUGUAUCACGAAUUUAACACUACUUACAUGUACCAGAUCUGGCUGUUGUACAGAGAAGCAUCCAGCGAUUGAAAUGAUUGUUGUAAAUAGCAACAUUACAAUAAAUGAAGAGGAGAAUUAUCAGAAGAAAGACAACUACAUUCAGAUCAUAGUGAUACUCGUCACAGAACUCGUGUUCGUUGUUUCUGUCUUUGUUAUUAUUCUUAUACACCUUCACAGAAAACGAGGGGGAAUGAAUA